AUGAGGCGUUUUGUGAGAGAUUUCAGCACCAUUGCUGCACCUCUCAACGAGCUUACAAAGAAGGAUGUGCCUUUUGUUUGGGGUACCGCACAGGAAGAAGCCUUCACGGUAUUGAAAGAUAAGUUGACACAUGCUCCUUUACUCCAACUUCCUGAUUUUAAUAAGACUUUUGAGCUUGAAUGUGAUGCUAGUGGAAUUGGAUUAGGACGUGUGUUAUUACAAGAUGGCAAACCUGUUGCAUACUUUUCUGAAAAAUUGAGUGGGCCUAGUCUGAAUUAUUCUACUUAUGAUAAAGAAUUAUAUGCUCUUGUUCGGACUUUAGAAACAUGGCAACAUUAUUUAUGGCCCAAAGAAUUUGUUAUACAUUCUGAUCAUGAAUCUUUGAAACAUAUUAAAAGUCAAGCUAAACUGAAUCGUAGACAUGCUAAAUGGGUUGAAUUCAUUGAGACUUUCCCUUAUGUAAUUAAACACAAGAAGGGAAAAGAAAAUGUUAUUGCUGAUGCAUUGUCUCGUCGCUAUACUAUGCUUUCACAACUUGACUUCAAAAUAUUUGGUUUGGAGACCAUCAAAGAUCAAUAUGUGCAUGAUGCUGAUUUUAAAGAUGUAAUGCAGAAUUGUAAAGGAGGAAGAAUGUGGAACAAGUUUGUUGUUAACAAUGGAUUUGUGUUUCGUGCUAACAAGCUAUGCAUUCCAGCUAGCUCCGUUCGUCUUUUGUUGUUGCAGGAGGCGCAUGGAGGAGGAUUAAUGGGACACUUUGGCAUGAAGAAGACGAAGGACGUACUUGCUACACAUUUCUUUUGGCCAAAGAUGAGACGGGAUGUUGAGCGGGCUGUUUUGAAGAAUAAUAAGAAAAUGUGGGAGGAAUGCUUGCCUCAUAUUGAAUUUGCUUAUAAUCGUUCAUUGCAUUCUACUACUAAGAUGUGCCCUUUUGAAGUUGUGUAUGGUUUCCUACCUCGUGCACCUAUUGAUUUGUUGCCUCUUCCAUCUUCGGAGAAGGUUAAUUUUGAUGCUAAACAACGUGCUGAAUUGAUUUUAAAAAUGCAUGAGUUAACUAAGGAAAACAUAGAGCGUAUGAAUGCUAAAUAUAAACUUGCUGGAGAUAAGGGUAGAAAACAUGUUGUGUUUGCACCUGGAGAUCUUGUUUGGUUACAUUUGCGUAAGGAUAGAUUUCCUGAUUUGCGCAAAUCAAAGUUAAUGCCACGUGCUGAUGGUCCCUUUAAGGUGUUAGAGAAAAUAAAUGAUAAUGCAUAUAAACUUGAGCUGCCUGCAGAUUUUGGGGUUAGUCCCACUUUUAACAUUGCAGAUUUGAAGCCUUAUUUGGGUGAGGAAGAUGAACUUCCGUCGAGGACGACUUCAUUUCAAGAAGGGGAGGAUGAUGAGGACAUCAAUACAAUUGUUACACCCACAGCCCCUGCUGCUAUACAUACUGGACCAAUUACUAGAGCUCGUGCACGCCAACUAAAUUACCAGGAAACAGACCCUCAUGGUCAGGUUGAUCGUGCUCCGGCGUGGUCAAUAACCUCUCGGAGUUGGUUUAGCGAUUGCUAA
rnacentral:rRNA from 1 species